AUACGGAGGAUGCAAGCGUUAUCCGGAUUUAUUGGGCUUAAAGGGUGCGUAGGCGGGACUGUAAGUCGGGGGUGAAAUACUGCAGCUUAACUGUAGCAUUGCCUUUGAAACUGCCGUUCUUGAGUACAGUUGAGGUAGGCGGAAUGUGGUGUGUAGCGGUGAAAUGCAUAGAUAUACCACAGAACGCCGAUUGCGAAGGCAGCUUACUAAGCUGUUACUGACGCUGAGGCACGAAAGCGUGGGGAUCAAACAGGAUUAGAUACCCUGGUAGUCCACGCUGUAAACGAUGAUUACUGGUUGUUAGCGAUAUAUAGCUAGUGACUGAGCGAAAGCAUUAAGUAAUCCACCUGGGGAGUACGUCGGCAACGAUGAAACUCAAAUGAAUUGGCGGGG
rnacentral:rRNA from 1 species